UGGGGAAUUUUGCACAAUGGGGGAAGCCCUGAUGCAGCGACGCCGCGUGAUUUAGAAGGCCUUCGGGUUGUAAAAAUCUUUUCUAUGGGAAGAAAAUGACAGUACCAUAGGAAUAAGGACCGGCUAAUUACGUGCCAGCAGCCGCGGUAAUACGUAAGGUCCGAGCGUUGUCCGGAAUCAUUGGGCGUAAAGGGUACGUAGGCGGGUAAGCAAGUUAGAAGGGAAAUCCUAUAGCUCAACUAUAGUAAGCUUUUAAAACUGCUCAUCUUGAGGUAUGGAAGGGAAAGUGGAAUUCCUAGUGUAGCGGUGAAAUGCGCAGAUAUUAGGAGGAAUACCGGUGGCGAAGGCGACUUUCUGGCCAUAACCUGACGCUGAGGUACGAAAGCGUGGGUAGCAAACAGG
rnacentral:rRNA from 1 species